rnacentral:rRNA from 1 species
ACGCUCGACACCUACGGGAGCAGCAGUGAGGAAUAUUGGUCAAUGGGCGCUAGCCUGAACCAGCCAAGUAGCGUGAAGGAUGAAGGCUCUAUGGGUCGUAAACUUCUUUUAUAUAAGAAUAAAGUGCAGUAUGUAUACUGUUUUGUAUGUAUUAUAUGAAUAAGGAUCGGCUAACUCCGUGCCANCAGCCGACGGUAAUCUGAGGCGGGCGUGGACGAAGGC